rnacentral:lncRNA from 1 species
UCACAUAUAAGUAGCCUACCGAAUUUUUUAAAAGAUUUAUCACACCCUUACAUCACAUAUAAGAUUUUUUAUAAGACAUGUGCCACCCUACAAUAUAUAUCAAAUCAAAGAAUCUGAUAUUAUUAACUGUGUGUGUUAGUUAUAGGAACCAAAACAUGUAUGUGUAAGAUAAGGAAAUUGACAUGAAGGAUUUAGUUUAUUGAAAUAUAGCCUUACAUAAAUGAGAAACUGAAAUAAAAAAGAACACACACUUUCAA